GGCAGUUAGGCUGCAGUGAAUUCUACAAAGAGGCUAUGGGAAAGAAACCUGGAAAGUACCCUUGGCUGUGUACAUUUGAGUAAAGAGAGCACUAUAAAAUCAAAAACCAAUGAAAUGGUUUCCAGAACACAGAACUAUUAAGCUUAAGAAAAGGACAGAAGGAACUGAAGAGAGAGGAACUGUUUUGGAGCAUCACACUUCCACCUCAGAAGAAAUAAGGAAGGAAGGAGGAGGGUGUUCCCACGGCUCUUCAACCAGGCCGGCUCUUCAGCCUACAUCCCCAUCUCAUCAAGUAAAAGGGAUUUUUCAACUGGACCAACCAGAUGGUUUAACAGUGCACUCCCACACCAUUCAACUACGCAAGGGAGAUACACUUAACAUAUGCAGUCGUAUAACACCUACUAACAUUUUCAAACAUUAAACCUUUAAAAAAGAGUUCUAAAGAAAUAGAAGCUUGAAGUAUCAUCUCUCAAGUAUAUAGACACUACUUCAUGGUGUGGUAAUAUAUGCAUAUAGAAGCUAGUAAACACCUCCAGGAGAUGCAAAAGGAAUUAGAACUGCCACAAGGUGCAAGCAAAACCUUGAGAGUGAAUAUACCUUGGAAGACGUGUCCUGCCUUUAGUAGCGUCACAAUGGAUUACAUCCUCUAUAAAGCAGUCUGGGAUAUUCUGCCCAAUCAGAGGCUAACAUCUGCCACAAGACAAAUAUGGUGCCUGCCCCCAUGGAGCUCAUAUUCGAAUGGAGAAAAUGUCAACAAGUAUCCCACGGAGUGAACACUUCAAAAGGAGAAGCACAGGUGAGAAAAUCGAAUUUGGACACCGUUGAGGAGACUAUUGCAGUCAUCCAAGCUCAAGAUGGUGGAGCUUCAUCCUUGAGAAUAACCAAUGGGGAUAGAUUUAAGAGACACUUAGAGUCUGCAGCCAACAGGGCUGAAUGAGCAGAGAGUUAUGAUUCAGAAGAUCAUCUAAAAUUGAACAGCUGCCACUACUGGCAAUAAGUCUACUGCCAUUUGGUAGAUAACCUUCUUAUCACACAGAAAAAUAUCAGUACAGACAAAUAGACCGCAAAGAAAAUGAGACCAUCAGCAAAGAAGAUAAAGAAGUUUGUACAAAGCAACUUUUUAUAAAUGGAUGGCUGUCAGGCAAAAAUAAAUUUCCUGUGGACAAGACCAAGAGCAAGGCAAGAGGAAAAUAAACAUGUUUAAACUA
rnacentral:lncRNA from 1 species